AUUAAACGCUGGCGGCAUGCCUUACACAUGCAAGUCGAACGGCAGCACGGGGGCAACCCUGGUGGCGAGUGGCGAACGGGUGAGUAAAGCAUCGGAACGUGCCCUGGAGUGGGGGAUAACGUAGCGAAAGUUACGCUAAUACCGCAUAUUCUGUGAGCAGGAAAGCAGGGGAUCGCAAGACCUUGCGCUCUGGGAGCGGCCGAUGUCGGAUUAGCUAGUUGGUGGGGUAAAGGCCUACCAAGGCGACGAUCCGUAGCGGGUCUGAGAGGAUGAUCCGCCACACUGGGACUGAGACACGGCCCAGACUCCUACGGGAGGCAGCAGUGGGGAAUUUUGGGACAAUGGGCGAAAGCCUGAUCCAGCCAUGCCGCGUGAGUGAAGAAGG
rnacentral:rRNA from 1 species